rnacentral:rRNA from 1 species
CGGCGCACGGGUGCGUAACGCGUAUGCAACCUACCUAUUGCAGGGGAAUAGCCCAGGGAAACUUGGAUUAAUGCCCCAUAGUCCAUAUUGAGAGCAUUUGAUAUAUGGUAAAGAUUUAUCGGCAAUAGAUGGGCAUGCGUCCCAUUAGCUAGUUGGUGUGGUAACGGCACACCAAGGCUACGAUGGGUAGGGGCCCUGAGAGGGGGAUCCCCCACACUGGUACUGAGACACGGACCAGACUCC